rnacentral:rRNA from 1 species
UAGUCCACGCCGUAAACGAUGAGAACUAAGUGUUGGGGUUACCCAGUGCUGAAGCUAACGCAUUAAGUUCUCCGCCUGGGGAUUACGACCGCAAGGUUGAAACUCAAAGAAAUUGACGGGUCUCCGCACAAGCGGUGGAGCAUGUUGUUUAAUUCGACGAUACGCGAAGAACCUUACCAGGGCUUGACAUCCCAGUGAAAGGUGUAGAGAUACAUUUUUCCUUCGGGACACUGGUGACAGGUGGUGCAUGGUUGUCGUCAGCUCGUGUCGUGAGAUGUUGGGUUAAGUCCCGCAACGAGCGCAACCCCUAUUGAUAGUUGCUAACAUUAAGUUGAGGACUCUAUCGAGACUGCCAGUGAUAAACUGGAGGAAGGUGGGGAUGACGUCAAAUCAUCAUGCCCCUUAUGUCCUGGGCUACAAACGUGCUACAAUGGCUGGUACAAUGGGUUGCCAAACUGUGAAGUGGAGCUAAUCCUUUAAAGCCAGUCUCAGUUCGGAUUGGAGUCUGCAA